AUUGGCGGUGGUGUUCUCCCUCGCUGCAUCGGAGGUCGUGCGGACGUAUCUUUACGCGGACACAGACACACUCGCCUGUGUGCGCGUACGGGAACGCGCGCGCGUGUGGCGGACGAUCUCACAUAGACUAUUCACAACCUCAACAAUCAAAGUAAGGACUGGCACCUGCAAUCGAGCGCCCCCUUGCGACUAUUCUUUUCAAAGAGGCUGUGCGCACGGGGCUAGCACACACAAUCACACACACACAAUCACACACACACACACACACACACACACACACACACACACAUACAUACAGACCGGCCGAACGACCGACCGACCGGGAGAAGCGACGCACAUCUGCCGUGUGAUCGAUUUGCGUUGGCUGUGUGCGCCGCUGUGCGUGUCUAGCAUUGAAGCACCUGGAGACUGCCUCUGUUGGGUGGUUACACGGGUUCGUUGACAGCUGUCUCUCCUGAUUGCAUUUUCUUCUUUUCGUUCCUGGGAUGCUUUUGUAGCGGGUUUACAUCUGAGGUGCUCACGUGACUGUACUUUUUUCUCGCCAUCGCAGCAGCUGGCACAAAAGGAAAACAAGACAAAACUGAGGAGGCUGCUGUAAGUGGACGUGCUCGAGGGAGGAAGCGAUCCGCUCUGUGCGUCGGGUCCGUAUCUCCAUCCUCCCAACUCCAUCGUAGGAGUGCCUUGCGACCCCUCUAACCGUCUUUUCCUGCUUUUCGCUCUGCCUUUGUUUUGCUGUUCAGCGACUGUAGUAUCGCUGCUGCUGCUGCUGUUGUUGUCGUCACUCCUUAUUUGUUCUCAUUUUUGCUUGCGCGGGUACGCCGGCGUCCGCGUGCACUCUUGGUCUCCACCGUUUUUCCUGUUUGUCUCUCAUAGUUGCCUGCCCGCUUCCUUCCUCCCCCUCCCCCUCACUCCACACUCCACGAGUGAGCGCUUGGCGUCUUCGCCUGUUUCUGUGUAGUGCGCAGCUGUCUGGGUCUCGCUACACGCGCUCUGGUCACGGAUCGCCAUUGACACGGUGUGCUGCCUGCGUCCUCCUUACGCCGCCAGAGCCAGCGCACGCGCUUGCGCUUUCUUUUUCAUCUAUACGAGCCGUCUUCUUUUCGCUUGCACAGUCUCACCCCCAUUUCUCCUCCACUACCCUCGCUCUGACGAUGGGUCAGGACCAGAGCCGCGCAAAGGGCGGUCAGCCUGGACAGUCUGCAACAGGCGGCGCAGAUCGCAGUCUCUCUGCCGGCUCCGUCUCGGCUGCGCCUUUGGAGGCCCCUGUCUCACUUGCUGGCGUCGAGGGCUUCCAGGUGGUGCGACUGCUGCCGUACAGCCCUGCUCACAAGGCUGGCCUCGUUCCCUUCUUCGACAUUAUCACUGCUCUUGACAAGGUUCUUCUCGACUCAGAGGGGAAGGCGGCGCUGUCGUUCUUCAAGAGCCACGUGGCCAACCACCUCGACCAGCCCGUCUGCUUCACUACUUUCAAUCUGUACAGCCGCACAUACCGCGACGUCUACUGCGUCCCGUCGGACGAAUGGGGCGGUGGUGGCCUGCUCGGGUGCAGCAUCGAAUGGACUCGCGCGGACGCUUGCCCAGAGCGUUGCGUGCACGUUGUCGAUGUGCUGGAGGGCAGCCCUGCCGCGUGCUCUACAGAGCUGCAGGCAAAUCGGGAUUACAUUAUCGGCAUGCAGACUGUCCAGGAGACGCUCAUCACACUCAUAAAGAGUCAGAAGGAUUUCUACAGUCGACUGGAGGCGUGGCACGAGGAGCAGCGCUGGGCGCUGGAGCGGAAGCAGCUCUUCCCAAAUGAGAUGGUGGAGGUGCCGCAUGUGCUGCUCUUCCUCGUGUACAAUAGUGAGAACAACACUGUCGAGGAGGUGGAGGUGGAGAUGGGCACUAACCCAGAUGCAGCGGUAGGCAUCAGCGUCGCCACGGGUCUGCUGCACAUCAUCCCCUCAGUCGUCACCUCCGCCGACCUUGCCGCCGGGACUUCGUUGCCAGUCAUGAGAAAAUUCGCCUCUGUCAGGCGUAGCGUUGUGAUGCCGACCAGAGCGCAGCAGCAGGAGCACCAGCUUCUGCAAGACGUUUCUCUUACCCGACCUGUGGGGGCUGCGCCUCAACUGCAAGAGCAGUCUCAAGAGUCAACAUUUUCUUCGCAGCCACCACCACGCUUGCCUUCGCCGCAGGAGGCGCAUGCACGCUGCGCCGUCGUGGGCUCGCCAGAAGCGCACACGAUGACUAACCCUCACGAGCCGCCGAUGAACUCGUAUCCACAACCGUGCCCGCCACGGCCGCAGCUGCAGCAGCAACCAACGGAGGCAGCCCUCUACGCAAUGCCACCGCUGGCCUCCUUCAACGUAGCCCCGCCGCCGCGUGAUGGUGCGGCCGGGGCAACCGCCGCUGCCGCCGUACAAAUGGGGCAGAAGCCGUUCAACCCUUUUGCGAACGAGGCGUCGCCGGACUAUGACGUGCUGGAGGGUGCACCGCUGGCACGCGAGGGCGUGAUGGCUGCUGAAUACCACCUGGGGCAGCAUGCACCCACAACGGAACAGUCGUACUCAUUCUCUUACCCGCCACUAUCGUCCCAGCCCCCGCCGCUUUCAGCGUGUCCUCCCGCCCAGAUGAACGGCUCUCACAACCAUGCUGCUGCUCCGCCAUCUUGUUCUGCACCGCCGUCGCCACCACAGCAGCUGCACGUGACAACUAUACCCGCAUUCUCCAGUCAACGGAUGCCCCCUCCAUUGCAGUUUCCGGUGUUCCCUGGCGCAGCCGCAGCGAAGAGAGCUCCGGCGUAACUGCGAUUCAUGCUACUAAGAAUGUGUCGACCCUUACGCUAGUUGUGCUCCCCCCCCUGUCUCCGCACUUUCUGGCGCCGGUGUACUUCUCCGCGUCUGCAUCUCCGUCCGCGGGCUCAUCGCGCUGACGAUUAACAGGGUGAUGCAGUACUUUCUUGUGCUGGGCGAGGAGGCAAGAGAAAGACGGGGCAGAGCAAACAGCACUUGAGAUGACAGAAAGGGACGACGCAAAGCAAAACAAAGACAGAGAGAGAAAGCCGAAUCCAGAGAGGGCAGGGCGGGGCGGCGAGCACGCGUGUGCCGUUCGCCGCGUCUUUACUAUCCUCUCUUCUCUCUCUGAACGUUGUUCAACAUGCAUUAGUGUAGAAGUUCUUUUCUUAUUAUUGUUGUGAUUGGGCUUCUGCGCGUGUAGCUGAAUGCUCCGUGCACCGCGUUGAUGUGCCGAGCCUCUCUCUCCCACGUGUUACUCGCUUGCUUUUUAAUUCUCAUUUGCCCCCAUGCAUGUGUGACGCGUGCGGACUACCAGGUGGGCCGUGCCUUUGCUUUUCCUUUCCAUCGCAUGACGUGUGCUGAAGGACACAGGAUCGCCCCUGCAGUGAGGCGAAGUUGUGGUGCUGGUCUGCAUCUAUGUGUGUGUAUAUGUAUGUGUAGCGAGAGAGGUGCUGGGCGGGUAAGAGCGGGGGGGGGUGACCUAAUGACGAGAGUGUGCUUGAGGACACCACGACGGCGCAGAGGCUGUUUUCGUGCUCUCGCGAUGUCUGCCUCGUCGAUAACACGCACACACAGAAAAAAAUAAAAACGAGAUCUGAAAGUCAAAUGCCUUCGAGACGUGCUCAUGAGGCUCUGACCCCCCUCCCCCUCCUCUCCCUCUCCCUUCGUUCUCUUCAUCGGCUUAUGUCUUCCAUCAUUGGCUGCACGCCUGUUGUUGGUUUGUGCGACCCCUACCCCUCCUCUUCCCCGCCCCCCCCCCCUCCGAUGGGCGAGUGCGUGCCCUUUCGCCCGUUUGCAUGGAUCCCCUUGUUCGUGGUGGACAUGUGGACUUCGGACGGAAAUCGGCAAUGUUGGAAGGUACCUACCACGCGACUCCCACAAACGUACACCCCACGCCCACACAAGGCAGAUAGCAGACCAGGAAGCACCCGUAACGAUCAUCGAAAGGAGGGGGGGGCGGGGGUGUGGUGAAGGGGGGAGGGCGAAGGUAAGCGGUGGGAGGGGUGCAGCUUUUAGUGGAUUGUUUUCUUUUCUCUGUGCAUUGUGCGCCUCGAAUGCAUGCGGGGAUCGUGUGUGCUCAGGGUUGCAGCCGCGUACACACGCGCUGACCGAGCCGACGUUUCUGGCGCCCUUGCUACAUAUGCUGUAUCAAGUACGCUGCAGAUACUUCGCACGCACACACAUACACACAUACACUUCAAAAUCGCCCUUUCGGAAAAGAGCGACAAG
rnacentral:misc_RNA from 1 species